UCAUAUGCUUGUCUCAAAGACUAAGCCAUGCAAGUCUAAGUACAUGCCGUAUUAAGGUGAAACCGCGAAUGGCUCAUUAAAUCAGUUAUGGUUCCUUAGAUCGUACUUUUCUACUUGGAUAACUGUGGCAAUUCUAGAGCUAAUACAUGCAGCAGAGCUCCGACCUUCGGGGACGAGCGCUUUUAUUAGACCAAGACCAAUCGGACUUCGGUCCGUACGCCACGGCGACUCUGGAUAACUUUGGGCUGAUCGCACGAUCUCGCAUCGGCGAUAUUUCUUUCAAGUGUCUGACUUAUCAACUUUCGAUGGUAGUCUAUGCGCCUACCAUGGUCGUAACGGGUAACGGGGAAUCAGGGUUCGAUUCCGGAGAGGGAGCCUGAGAAACGGCUACCACAUCCAAGGAAGGCAGCAGGCGCGCAAAUUACCCACUCCCGGCACGGGGAGGUAGUGACGAAAAAUAACAAUACGGGACUCUCUUGAGGCCCCGUAAUUGGAAUGAGUACACUCUAAAUCCUUUAACGAGGAUCUAUUGGAGGGCAAGUCUGGUG
rnacentral:rRNA from 1 species